GGGGGUUUAGCUCAGUUGGUAGAGCGCCUGCUUUGCAAGCAGGAAGUCAGCGGUUCGAAUCCGCUAACCUCCA
rnacentral:tRNA from 1 species